rnacentral:rRNA from 1 species
AGUGAACGCUGGCGGUAGGCCUAACACAUGCAAGUCGAACGGCAGCACAGUAAGAGCUUGCUCUUACGGGUGGCGAGUGGCGGACGGGUGAGGCAUACAUCGGAAUCUUCUUUUUCGGGGGGGAUAACGUAGGGAAACUUACGCUAAUACCGCAUAUGACCUACGGGUGAAAGCAGUGGAUCUUCGGACCUUGCGCGAAUGAAUUAGCCGAUGCCGGGUUAGCUAGGUGGCGGGGUAAAGGCCCACCAAGGCGACGAUCCGUAGCAGACCUGAGAGGAUGGGGGGGCACACGGGAAGUUGGCCACGGACAAGACCCCUGCGAGAGGCAGCAGGAGGGAGUGUGCGGCAAUGGGCGAAAGCUUGACAGAGCAACGCCGCGUGAAAGAUGAAGGUCUUCGGAUCGUAAAACUCUUAUAUUAGGAAAGAACAAAUGUGUAAGGACCUAUGCACGGCGUGACGGUACCUGAUUAAGAAGCCGCGGCUAACUACGUG